rnacentral:rRNA from 1 species
UACGUAGGGGCCUAGCGUUGUCCGGAUUUAUUGGGCGUAAAGAGCGUGUAGGCGGCCAGAUAGGUCCGUUGUGAAACCUGGAGGCUUAACCUCCAGCCGUCGAUGGAAACCAUCUGGCUAGAGUCCGGAAGAGGAGAGUGGAAUUCCGAGUGUAGAGGUGAAAUUCGUAGAUAUUCGGAAGAACACCAGUGGCGAAGGCGACUUACUGGACGAUUGUUGACGCUGAGGUGCGAAAGCGUGGGGAGCAAACAGG